rnacentral:pre_miRNA from 1 species
UACAACGUUUGACUCUUCGUCUUAUCUAAAUUUUUUUAUGAUUAGUUUUAUUUUGUUGUUAUUAGAUGAUAAAACAUGAAUAAUACUUUAUGUAUGACUAUUUUUUUAUAAAUUUUUAAAUAAGAUAGAUGGUUAAACGUUGAACACAGAAACCUA